GAUCAUGGCUCAGGAUGAACGCUAGCGGCAGGCCUAACACAUGCAAGUCGAGGGGCAGCGGGGAUUGAGCUUGCUCAAUUUGCCGGCGACCGGCGCACGGGUGCGUAACGCGUAUGUAACCUACCCUGAACUGGGGAAUAACACUGAGAAAUCGGUACUAAUACCCCAUAAUACACUGGAAGGACGAUCUUUUGGUUGUUGUAAAGACUCCGCGGUUCUAAGAUGGACGAUGCGUUGUAUUAGUCUUAG
rnacentral:rRNA from 1 species